UACCCCCAACAUAUCCCUGGAUUAGAGGG
rnacentral:piRNA from 1 species